rnacentral:tRNA from 2 species
GGGCCUAUAGGUUAAUGGAUAGACCGUCGGGCUUCGGACCCGAAAAUCGAGGUUCAAUUCCUCGUAGGCCCA